rnacentral:lncRNA from 1 species
GCCUGCCGACGCCGCCGCCCACAUCCCAGAUGGCCUCCGCGGCUAGUGCCCUGUCAUGAACCGAUCACCUCGUCCCCUCCGCCAGAGCCUUCAGCCACGACAACGUGACUCGCCUGAAGCCACUGGCCGCCACGUACCAUACAGACGACCCAGAAGGCGCCGGCUGCUGACCCACAUGAUGCCUCCAGAUACGUUAGAGCAGCGCCACACAGUGAAGAGACGCGCCCAGACCUCACCUAUGGCCUCCUCCCACUGUCUCCGCCAGACGUCGUGAGAAGGUAGCGGGGAAUCCCCGAGAUGCCACAGCCCAGUGUCAUCUGCCAUGUGUCAUCCGCACACAGUGGCACUUGAGUUUCCCACAAUCCAUCCUCGGUAUGCCUUCGUCCUCCUGUGGACUUGGUGUGCGUCAUCGUGAGACGUGGCGUAGACGUUGUGCAGGCAGGGCAUUCGCUUAUCCUUGGAGUAUUCAAGCGUCCUCCCUGCUGGAGCUGCCUAAAGACUGUCUCUCUGGGAAUCUGUGUACAUACUGUUUUGUCUGUUAAUGUUUAUGUUGGCAAUAAAAUUCAAAGUGUGUCUCACUUA